CCCCUAGAUGUUCUGGGCCGCACGCGCGCUACACUGAUGGAUUCAACGAGUCACACAUCGUCAUUGACGUUGUUGUCCUUGGUCGGAAGGCCUGGGUAAUCUUGUAAAUGUCCAUCGUGAUGGGGCUAGAUUUUUGCAAUUUUGAAUCUCCAACGAGGAAUUCCUAGUAAACGCAAGUCAUCAGCUUGCAUUGAUUACGUCCCUGCCCUUUGUACACACCGCCCGUCGCACCUACCGAUUGAAUGGUCCGGUGAAGCCUCCGGAUUGGCGCGCACCUCGGUGCCGCCGAGAAGUUGGCUAAACCUUACCAUUUAGAGGAAGGUGAAGUCGUAACA
rnacentral:rRNA from 1 species